UUUAACGUGUUUAAAGCAUUUAUUUAUUAACACAGACAAGUGAUACUUUCUAUAUACAUUUUAGUAGACGUAGAAUUACAGUAAAAACAGACAACACAUUGCUGCAGUUUCACAGCUGAUACAGUAUGUUUCAAAUCUUUCGUUGUGUUUAUUUCUUUGUAUUUAAGAAUAUAUUGUUCAGCUUAGAAAUAACAAAAAAGGUUAUUUUGACGUUUCACAGUAGGGUUAAAAAUCUAGACGAUCUUAGUAAUAUUUAUCAGCCACAUAUGAAUGUUCUCCUCACUUUCGCCCAUCUGAUAUUGUAACCUAUUUGUAGAAUUUCAUGCCUUGACUCAUGCUUCAAUUCAUGACUUAUCAAUGUCAUCUUAUUUAGUUCUCUAGUUUGAAUUGGUUUACAUUUGUUAAAUGUGUCCCUUUAUAGCUAUCUAUGCGGUAUUGGAUUGUUCAGUAUUAAAGGUCGUACGGUGACAUAUAGUCGUUAAUGUGUGUGUCUUUUUGUCUCCUGUGAAUAGUUGUCUCAUUGGCAAUUACACAACAUCUUCUUUUUUUUUUAAAUUUUAUAUAUAUAUAUAGCAGCAUUUGAUUACCAUAUUUGCAAUUGAUUAUUUACUAUACUAGUAUAUAAAACUAUUGUGAUGCUGAGCUAGACAUGUCAUUUUGAGAUAUGAUUUUUUAAUCGCAAUGGCAAUAAUGAUCAAGAAAAACUUUUACAAUCAUUCAGUUAUGUAUACGUAUUAACUAUAUUUUAAUGAAAGUUGUAAUAAUGUAUGGUAUUUUAAUAACUUUUCAUCAUGAAAUAUAUAUUAGUAUCCUAUGUUAAGGCGUGGUAUACAUUUUAUUUGUUAGAUGCAUUGCUAUGGUCGAAAGGGUAUUUACAAAGAAAAUAUGGAAAAAAGUAUUUUAAAACACCUCCCUUGAUACAUCAUAUCGCAUACAUACACAUUAAACAUUAUAUGACAGUCAUACAAUACUUAUCCAUACCACAGCCAUACAAUGUUAGUGCGUAUCACAGCUUUACAAUUUUAUAGAGUGUGCAUUCACAGUAAUUCUGAUUACAUCAUGAUAGAUAACAAAGCUUCCUUAAAAAAUGUAAACGUUUAAAAACUAAUGUGCAGAACAAGAACACGAUGACAUUGUGUGGGUCUGUUCCAUGAAUAUGAGUUGAUUUUCUGGUCUAUUUCUAUAUUUUUAGCAAAUUAUAGACAGUAGUUUCGAUACAAGUCUGGUUGGUUAUAUGCAUUCAUGUUACUUUUAUUGUUCUCUUUUAUAGAUUUAAUAUGUUUCUAAUUUGACUACCCAGUACUCUUCUAGAUAAAUUUUAUUCGAUCAGUUGUUUUAUAUCAAGUUAUAUAAUUUAUGUCCUUAAUAUAUCACGCUAUUCAACUGUAUUGCAACGCUAAUUUAGACUUUAAAUGACUGUCGUGGAUGCUGUAUGGUCAUGAUCAGUUAUCGUAUGGUCAGUUGAAUGAUCCACAUUGUAGCGUUUAUCUUUACUUUCUGAUUCAACUCCCCUUUUGCAAGAAACGAGAUUCCUCAUACUUCGCCUAAAACGUUUGUCAAAAAUAAAAUAUAUUAUUGGAUUUGCAACAUGGUUGACGAUGUAACAUCUUUCAGCAAUUUUCAAAGUCGAAAAUGCGAAUUCAUUGAUAUCGCUCUCAUCAAACCAGUCCUUUGCAACUUUCAGAAAAAAAAGAGGAAUAUAGCUCAGUGCAAACACCACUGAAAUAGUAAAAGCAAUUUUUGUCAUCUUUUCGGAAAUAUUGCCGUCAGAAGUUUGUGUAUGAGGACAAAGUCGUUUUUGGCGUUGUAGGUAAAUUUUCCUGGCUAUCAGUGAAUAAAGCACAAACAAAAUUACAGUGUAGAUCGAAAAUAAACAUACAUUGAAAGUACUAUAUACAAUCGAGUACUUCGAAGGAUGCUCAGCAGUAAUUGGACAGGUGCGAGUAGUAAUGUUAUUUUGUAAUUUUAUCGCAUCAAUAUCAAUUAAUACUGUUUGUGGCCAUGACAGUAGUAUCCCGAUAACAAAACAGACUAUUAUAAAAUAAUGAAUGUUCUUGACAGAAAUUUGAGUUUUGACCGAAUAACAGAUUUGUCUGAAUCUAUGCACUGAUAGUAACAUCACCAGAUGAGCAGAAUAUAUGAAUCCAAAUACAAUGACUCCUGUGAUAAUUUUACACGCCCACCGUCCAUCAAAUGUAUAAUAAUGAACAAUACGAGCAAUAUUAAAUGGUAUGCCUAAACUGCAGAAAAUUAGAUCAACAACAGCCAGAUUACAAAUGAGAACUCUGAACACACCUUUGGAAUACUUGGUACCGUAUAUGAAUAAAACGGCUAAAUUGCCUGGUAUUCCAAAAAUCAACAAUAGGCAAAGAAAUGAAAUCGGUGCAAUGAAACGUCCGAUAUGUUUAUCCAUUAUAUCAUCAAGCGUGAUUGUUUCAUUCAUUUUAAAUGUUUCGUAGCCACAAUUCUGCAGUAUACGUUAUCUACAUACAAAACGGAUAACUGCUCGCUGCUUAUACAAUCAGAUAUGAAAGUGAAUGAUAUGAAAGUAAUAUAUUUUAUUUAUAAAUUAAUUGUUUCUAUGUACAUUUCAUCAUGUCAUGCGUAGGUGUUAAACAAUAUAUUCUGUGUAAAUUAUCAACACCGCAGACAAUGCGGAAAUGAGCAGUUUAAUUUUAGAAGAAAACAUCCACACAUUCUACGCACAUAAUAAAUCAUAUUCAAC
rnacentral:lncRNA from 1 species